rnacentral:rRNA from 1 species
GAUGAACGCUGGCGGCGUGCCUAAUACAUGCAAGUCGAGCGAACGGACGAGAAGCUUGCUUCUCUGAUGUUAGCGGCGGACGGGUGAGUAACACGUGGAUAACCUACCUAUAAGACUGGGAUAACUUCGGGAAACCGGAUCUAAUACCGGAUAAUAUUUUGAACCGCAUGGUUCAAAAGUGAAAGACGGUCUUGCUGUCACUUAUAGAUGGAUCCGCGCUGCAUUAGCUAGUUGGUAAGGUAACGGCUUACCAAGGCAACGAUGCAUAGCCGACCUGAGAGGGGGAUAGGCCACCUGGGAACUGAGCCACGGUCCAGACUCCUAAGGGAGGCAGCAGUAGGGAAUGUUACGCAAUGGGCGAAAGCAUUACGGAGCAACGCAGCGUGAGUGAUGACGGUCUUCGGAUCGUAAAAAUCUGUUAUUAGGGAAGAACAUAUGUGUAAGUAACUGUGCACAUCUUGACGGUACCUAAUCAGAAAGCCACGGCUAACUACGUG